GACAGGCUUAACACAUGCAAGUCGAGGGGCAUCAGGUUGAAAGCUUGCUUUCUUUGCUGGCGACCGGCGCACGGGUGAGUAACACGUAUCCAACCUGCCCUUUACUCGGGGAUAGCCUUUCGAAAGAAAGAUUAAUACCCGAUAGCAUAAUGAUUCCGCAUGGUUUCAUUAUUAAAGGAUUCCGGUAAAGGAUGGGGAUGCGUUCCAUUAGGUUGUUGGUGAGGUAACGGCCCACCAAGCCUUCGAUGGAUAGGGGUUCUGAGAGGAAGGUCCCCCACAUUGGAACUGAGACACGGUCCAAACUCCUACGGGAGGCAGCAGUGAGGAAUAUUGGUCAAUGGGCGCUAGCCUGAACCAGCCAAGUAGCGUGAAGGAUGAAGGCUCUAUGGGUCGUAAACUUCUUUUAUAUAAGAAUAAAGUGCAGUAUGUAUACUGUUUUGUAUGUAUUAUAUGAAUAAGGAUCGGCUAACUCCGUGCCAGCAGCCGCGGUAAUACGGAGGAUCCGAGCGUUAUCCGGAUUUAUUGGGUUUAAAGGGAGCGUAGGUGGACUGGUAAGUCAGUUGUGAAAGUUUGCGGCUCAACCGUAAAAUUGCAGUUGAUACUGUCAGUCUUGAGUACAGUAGAGGUGGGCGGAAUUCGUGGUGUAGCGGUGAAAUGCUUAGAUAUCACGAAGAACUCCGAUUGCGAAGGCAGCUCACUGGACUGCAACUGACACUGAUGCUCGAAAGUGUGGGUAUCAAACAGGAUUAGAUACCCUGGUAGUCCACACAGUAAACGAUGAAUACUCGCUGUUUGCGAUAUACAGUAAGCGGCCAAGCGAAAGCAUUAAGUAUUCCACCUGGGGAGUACGCCGGCAACGGUGAAACUCAAAGGAAUUGACGGGGGCCCGCACAAGCGGAGGAACAUGUGGUUUAAUUCGAUGAUACGCGAGGAACCUUACCCGGGCUUAAAUUGCAGUGGAAUGAUGUGGAAACAUGUCAGUGAGCAAUCACCGCUGUGAAGGUGCUGCAUGGUUGUCGUCAGCUCGUGCCGUGAGGUGUCGGCUUAAGUGCCAUAACGAGCGCAACCCUUAUCUUUAGUUACUAACAGGUUAUGCUGAGGACUCUAGAGAGACUGCCGUCGUAAGAUGUGAGGAAGGUGGGGAUGACGUCAAAUCAGCACGGCCCUUACGUCCGGGGCUACACACGUGUUACAAUGGGGGGUACAGAAGGCAGCUAGCGGGUGACCGUAUGCUAAUCCCAAAAUCCUCUCUCAGUUCGGAUCGAAGUCUGCAACCCGACUUCGUGAAGCUGGAUUCGCUAGUAAUCGCGCAUCAGCCACGGCGCGGUGAAUACGUUCCCGGGCCUUGUACACACCGCCCGUCAAGCCAUGGGAGCCGGGGGUACCUGAAGUACGUAACCGCAAGGAUCGUCCUAGGGUAAAACUGGUGACUGGGGCU
rnacentral:rRNA from 1 species